rnacentral:rRNA from 1 species
UACGGGGGGAGCAAGCGUUGUUCGGAUUUACUGGGCGUAAAGGGCGCGUAGGCGGUCAGCACAAGUCAGUUGUGAAAUCUCCGGGCUUAACUCGGAAAGGUCAACUGAUACUGUGCGACUAGAGUGCGGAAGGGGCAACUGGAAUUCUCGGUGUAGCGGUGAAAUGCGUAGAUAUCGAGAGGAACACCGGUGGCGAAGGCGGGUCUCUGGGCCGAUACUGACGCUGAGGAGCGAAAGCGUGGGGAGCGAACAGG